UUCCAGUUCUAAACUGAAGAUGUUUGAGAGUGAAGCCCGGCUUUACAAGGUAAUUGUGAUGUUGUGUUAUGAUCUGGUUCUAUUUAGUAGUUGAUACUUUAAAUGUGCUGGAGCUGAGUGGCUUCUGGAAACAAUUGGAUUGGCUUAAAGUAGGUGAUUUCAGAUGCUGACCUUGUAGAGUGUGUUGGAAGGUGAUCUUAAACCCUGUUGAGCCUGGCCUUGAACACUGCCAGGGAUGGGGCAGUCACAGCCUCCUCGGGCAGCUCAUUCUAGUGCCUCAGCACCCUCACAGGGAAGAACUUCCCCUCUUUAAGUUUGAGCCCAUUCCCCUUUGUGCUAUUGCUACAGUCCCUGGUGAAGGGUCCAGUUUUGAAUCCAUGUUUGAGAGAAGACAUCUGGUUCUAUUGGUGCAGCCUUCCUUAUCUUGUAGCCUCUACAGACAAUGAAAUACCAGUUUAAGAAUCCUUGUAGCCCUGUCUCAGUGUUCAGAUUCAGUGAAGUACCAGUGGGUUUGAACUAGAUGAUCUUCAGGUGCUUUCCAACCCUAACCAGUCUAUUCCUUGAUGUAACUGGCUGUCAGGGGGACCCCUGGGGCUGCACUGCCUCAGCUGCUCCUCACCACCCUCCUCUUCCUUAAGGUGCUGCUGCUGCUGCCCUGUCCUGCUCUGGAUGGCUCCUGACUUCUAAACUGAAGAAGUUUGAGAGUGAAGCCUGGCUUUACAAGAUACUGGUGAUGGAUUGCAACGAGGUGCUAACAAAAAGGAACACACGUCUCUUACAGGAGAAGGUGGGUAUGCUGAGAGCCAGCCAGGUGUUAAGUGAUGCCUGAGGCUGAGUCCAUGCAGUAACCACAAGGAAUGUGAUGGCAGCAGCAGGAAGGUGGCCUCCCAUAGCACAUGCUUUGUGCUGGGGACUGCCUGUUAAAUGGCUCCUGCUCUGCUGGAAAGGAAGGUACAGGCAGGCUGUGCACCUGUAAGUGUGCAGGCCUCUGGGUUAGGACCUGCAGACCAGCACCCCAUCCACUGAGGGCUUGGGAGAAACUGCAUUCAACUCGCAUGUGUGUUGAAGGCAUCUGGGGAAGCUGAUGCUGGAGGGGUGGGUUCUGUGGUGUGGGCUGGGCACCAAUUUGUGCAUGCACAUAACUGGUAAUAAAGGCCUUAAAAUGGUGACUUGUAAACCUGUAUUUGACUGCAGUAAAGAACUGAAUAAACA